GAUGAACGCUGGCGGCGUGCCUAAUACAUGCAAGUAGAACGCUGAAGGAAGGAGCUCGCUCUUUCCGGAUGAGUUGCGAACGGGUGAGUAACGCGUAGGUAACCUGCCUGGUAGCGGGGGAUAACUAUUGGAAACGAUAGCUAAUACCGCAUAACAGUAGAUGUGGCAUGAUAUCUACUUAAAAGGUGCAAUUGCACCACUGCCAGAUGGACCUGCGUUGUAUUAGCUAGUUGGGGAGGGAACGGCUCACCAAGGCGACGAUACCUAGCCGACCUGAGAGGGUGAUCGGCCACAAUGGGACUGAGACACGGCCCAGACUCCUACGGGAGGCAGCAGUAGGGAAUCUUCGGCAAUGGACGGAAGUCUGACCGAGCAACGCCGCGUGAGUGAAGAAGGUUUUCGGAUCGUAAAGCUCUGUUGUAAGAGAAGAACGAGUGUGAGAGUGGAAAGUUCACACUGUGACGGUAGCUUACCAGAAAGAGACGGCUAACUACGUG
rnacentral:rRNA from 1 species